rnacentral:rRNA from 1 species
UACGUAGGGUGCAAGCGUUGUCCGGAAUUAUUGGGCGUAAAGAGCUCGUAGGCGGUUUGUUGCGUCGGCUGUGAAAUCCCGAGGCUCAACCUCGGGUCUGCAGUCGAUACGAGCAAACUAGAGUGUUGCAGGGGAGACUGGAAUUCCUGGUGUAGCGGUGAAAUGCGCAGAUAUCAGGAGGAACACCAGUGGCGAAGGCGGCUCACUGGCCCGGUACUGACGCUGGAGGUGACGAAAGCCGUGGGGAGCAAACAGG